CAACCCAACAAGUGUUGUAACACACUCUGUGGAAUUGAGCGUCGAAUCAAAAACUGCAAGUAUUUUCAUUGUUCAUUAUUGAGUCAAGAAUUGGUAUUUACACUGCACCACAAGUUGUUCUCUUUGUCUACAAAAGUGGCACGGUCAAUGUGUGACUUUUAUCAACCCUUUCUCUCACAUCGACGUCAAGUGAAGCCUGCCGUUCAGGUGCUCUCCCUAUCUCUAUGUGCAUGUCUUUCACUUAGGAAUAAUUAUGUCUCUAUACAAAAAUGCAAAGAAUCUGUCUACUCUAGAUUUGCUACGCCUAAUUUUUAGGGCUCUCGUGGAGAUUUGCCGAUGUGUAAUCAUAUCUUGUCUAAAUUGGGCUGAGAAAAUCAUUGUGAGUGAUUUGUUUGUUGAGAGCUCCAGCGGGUCGCUCGUGCGUGGUUUGCCGGAUUGGUUGUUCCAUGGAUCGAUAUGGUUUAGAGUGUUGUCUAGAUGAUUUGCAAAGGCUGCUUUUCUUGCUGCGCAUUAACAAGAAAUGGCGCAAGGAAGUUAAGUCGAAUCUGGAUUGGUGCUGUCUUCUCUUGGAUGAAGUGAUGUAGUUUGAUAUGUUUCCUUUGCACGCGUAAAAUUAGAUUCUUGAUCAGUUUCAUCGCUCCUGAGUUAUCACAAUAAAGAGGAGUGGAAUCAUUUGAAAAGAUGCCGAGGUCACGCAAUAGCUCCCUAACCCCCAUGAUUUCUCUUGCUAACUCCGUGAGCGCGCGGUGCUCCCCCUUGGUGGUGGAUAUUGCCACGGUGGCUUAGAGUUUACUCCGCCCGGAUGUAAGUGUCUCUCUAAGCUCAAGGAGCAUGCCCGAAGUAAAUUUUUGACCAUCCAAGUCACAAGCCCAAUCAGAGUUGGCAAAGGCUUGGAGGUCGAGGUUAUUUUCUUUUGAGAAUGAAAUCCCGUAGGUUGUUGUGCCCUUGAUACGCCGUAGAAUUCUUCUCGCGGCGUCCAUGUGGGCUGCAAGUGGCGAUGUCAUGAAUCUGCUUAGCAUCGAAACGGAGCAUGCGAUAUCUGGGCACGAGUCCGUGUGCUGAACAAAUGCCAUCUCCGAUUCAUUGAAUUGAACAACUUUUGUUACAAUGAUUUUCUGUUUGUCUAGAUCGUAGAGAACAUAUGCUUUAGAAGCGGAGUCAUAACCUCCCAUCAUGCAUAGAUUUCCUUGGGGGUCCAUCUUGGUGCUCUUUUCUUUGCGCACAUGGGAGUACGCCAAGCAUCCAAAAACUUUUAGAUGCUUGAGGUCCACAAGUUUUCCUUUUCUUGUCUGAAUUGGAGGCGUUCCGACAUUUGACCUCGUCAAGCUGAUGUUGAUCAGGUAUACUGCUGUACUUACAACUUCUGGCCAUAGAUCUACUAGUAGAUGAGCAUCUAAAGCCAUCGUGUGUGCCCGGUCGAAUAUGAUUCUAUUCAUCGUCUCCACCACUCCGUUUUGAUGCGGGGUGUGCGGGGCGGUUAACUGCCUGUGUAUUACUGCUCUUUCGCAGAAUUGCAGGAAUUCAGUGGACAUAAAUUUGCCUCUCCGGUUCGUUCUGAAGAACUUGAUUUUUUGCUCAUUUCUGUUUUCUAUGUAAUUCCAGAAAUUCUUGAAUUUUUUAAAUACCAUGUUUUUCAUUUUCAGAAAAUGUACCUAGGUCAUCCUUGUGAAGUCGUUAAUGAUGGUAAAGAAAUAGCGAGAUCCUCCUCUUGAAACUUGUGAGAAUGGUCCGCAAAGAUCCGUGUGGAUUAGUUCGUUCCUAGUUCCUGCUUGGGUUGUGCUCUCCUUUGGCGCAGCCGCUUUGUGCGUCUUCGUGCACAUUAAUCACAUUAAAAUAACAAGUAACGGGGAUGUAUAGCAUACUUGGAGUUUUUGUUAUUAAUAUGUGAAGCGUUUGGAAGUUGAAGUGUUCGAGUCGUUUGUGCCAAAGCAUUGCGGGAUUUGUUUCGGUGUGGCUUGCUGCAGUUGCUGGUGAUGCGUAUUUGGUGAUGUUCGUUUCAAGCAAUGGUAGAGGAGGUGAAAUGCUUGGUGCGGAUAGGCGAUAAAGACCCGUGGCUGCGUCGCGGAUUCCUGCUGCCACUAGCUUUGCCGGUUUGCUUUGCGUUACAAUCUAGCAUCCCGUGGUAGUGAAGACUAUGGUGCAUCCCCCAUCUGCAAUGACCCCCACCAACAAUAGAUUUUUACGUACGUCGGGUACCCCAAAAAACAUUCUGGUUGCAUCGCCGCAUCGUAUCGCUACUCUUCCUUCUCGCCGUGCUUCAUGUGUCGUGCCUGUUAUGGUUUGAACCUUAGGUUUCAUGGGUGUCAUCUUGACAUCAUAGGGGUUUGAUCUAGAACUGGUGACAUACAUAGUAGCGCCGGGUCUAGAUACCACUCCUCAUCAUUGCGGUUGAGGUUCAAGGCGAACAUUGCUAUAUCCAAAAGUCAAGCUCAGCGUCAUUCUCAUCUAUUUUCUAGUGCGUUUGUAUCAGUUCUGAAUUUUUUGCUACAAUAUUGACUUUCGGUCGAUUUUGAGCAUUUAGCAUUUGUAGUCGUUUGGGGCGUAGGCACUCAUUGGCAAAUUGAUCCCAAUCUUUGCAAUUGUUGCAGCGCCUA